rnacentral:lncRNA from 1 species
AGAAUUGCCCCACAUCCUCCGCCAGUGGUUCUGCAAUCUCCAUCUCUGAAUCCUUUGUCCUUUUGUGCUGCUGUUAUUUACUCCAAUACCAUUUCUCUUUCCUCCUCCUCCUCCUCCUUCUUCUUCUAUUCCUCGCUGAGAUUCUCUAACCCCCCUCAUCAUCCUCCCAUCAUUUUCCGAGCCCUAAGCUGACUGAGCCUCCCAAAGCCAUCAGGUCUGAUUGUCUGAUCUCGAGGCAUCGAGUCCGCCGGCUGAAAUGAAAAAUGAGGAUUCCUCUCAGCCUCUAUUUUUAUUCUGUUUUCAUUCUCUCUUUCAUUCGUCUCUCCCUAGUCUCCCCCUUUUUUCUUUUUCCCACCUCUCUUUCACGCUUUCCAUCAUGCCUCCCUCUCGCAUACACCUCUCUGUGGGCUCUUUCGCUCAUGUUUCUUCACCUUUUGUGGCCUUCCUGGAGCCUGCCAAUCUCACCCCAUUCCUCCUCUCAUUUUGUGUCUGCCCUCCGUCCUCAGCCUGGAUGACUGGCAGCUGCACUGGCAUGAGAAGAUGUGAGGGGAGCUGGCGACAGGGCAGGAGGCAGAAAUCUGUGCUUGAUGGUUUUAGAUUACAUCCUGCAAGUCACUACAAAUCCUCUAUCGUGCACACACGGGGGGCUUUCAUGAGUACACAUGAACAAGUGUGAGGAAAAGUUAUAAAAAAAAACAGUUUUAAAGUUUUUAUUUCUAUUUUGUUUUGGCUAUUAUUAAUUAGAUUUUAUGUCAUUAAGUCUAUAUUUUCAAGUUUUUAUUCUUUUAAAAGAGUUAGUUUUAGUUGAGUUUGUAUUAGUUUGGUGUUAAUUUUAGUUUUUCAUGAUUUGGAUCAUUGAGCAGGUGCAAGACCUUUAAAACAGACCGGGAAGGGGGACAGCGUGGUAUCUUCAGCACAACACAGGGGAUCUGGAUCUAGUGUCAGUGCUUUCUUAGAGUUCACUGUCUCUGUUAGACCCCAUUCAUGCAGAUUCAUUUACCGAUAACAAAGGACAAUAUUUAAAGUUUCCAUCAAUGUCGUUUUGUAGCUCAAACACGCUUUCACUAGUGUUGUGUCGUUCGCGAACGAUUCGUUCAAAAGAACUGAAUCUUUUAAGCGAACGAACUGAACCGAAACACUUCCUCGAGUGAUUUGUUCGUUUCUCACUUCAGUUGAGCUGAAGUGAGGAACAGCAUCACCAGGCCAGCAGCCGGCAAACAAGGGACCACAUGCACCGACGCCAGAAUCACUUGGUGAACGAAUCACGUGUUGAACUGAACUCUCUGGAAUCAUUUUUGUUGGACAAAACUACCUUUUUUUUUUUUUAAACGUUUAAUUGCCAUCACAACAACUUGUAUACAAUAGGACACAGCAUGUAACAAGUAGUGCAUAAAACCCACAGCAUCCUAUCAUUGCAGCGGUUUGCGAGGGAACGGUGCAUGUUCAGUGUGAAUUCUUCUGAACGAAUCACUCACUCAGCCCAGUUUACCAAGGAAACCUGAUAAAUGGCAUACAAUAGGACAGUACACUUAAAACAUCAUGACUUAUAAACAAGUUCAUUUUUACAAACCUGUUUGCCAAAGCAACACAGCCAAACACUCUUGUCUCCCAGUCCCAGAAGCUAUGAAUUGAACUGAAUCCUUAAACAUUCAGCUGUGUAUCAGUUCAAGAGGUCGGAGUCACAGGGUUCUCCCGCCAAGUGCUAAAUGAUUCAGUGAUUUGGUGAACGAAUCUUUUUAGUGAACUGAUUCUAGUGAUUCAGUACAUCUAAAAGAACUGCUCCGCCCAUUACUACACCACUGAGUCACAGUCACCGUUUGAUGUUUUAUGUCUUAAAAAUCUGUAGAUUUAAAAAAUGUAAAUAAAAAGAGUUUGAUCAAAAUUCUCUUUACUAAAAAAUCCUCAAAUCCCAUUUUAAGAACCUUUCCAAUCAUUGCCAUUUGUGUUUGAGUUUACUGCAGGAGUUGGUGCGGCUAUUUAAACAGGCUCUAAAACCACUGCCACCGUGGAAUCUUAUUUUUGUUGAUAAGACACUGUGUCUUUCAGUUUACUAUGACCUUGCAGCUGAUAAUUGUAGCCCAAGGAUCAUCAAAAUGACCUCCAAAAUUAGUAAUGCUUUAUGGUAAUGUUAUUAUUUUCUCAGUGGCAAGAAGUGUGGCAAAUUUAGUUUUGAUCCCCUCAAAACAUCAGAUGAUUUAUCCCCAAACCAAAUCCUAACCUGA